GAAAUGCGAUAAUUAAUGUGAAUUGCAGAAUUCAGUGAAUCAUCGAGUCUUUGAACGCACAUUGCGCCCCCUGGUAUUCCGGGGGGCAUGCCUGUCCGAGCGUCAUUGCUGCCCUCAAGCACGGCUUGUGUGUUGGGCUUCCGUCCCUGGCAACGGGGACGGGCCCAAAAGGCAGUGGCGGCACCAUGUCUGGUCCUCGAGCGUAUGGGGCUUUGUCACCCGCUCCCGUAGGUCCAGCUCGCAGCUAGCCUCGCAACCAAUCUUUUUAACCAGGUUGACCUCGGAUCAGGUAGGGAUACCCGCUGAACUUAAGC
rnacentral:misc_RNA from 1 species